UGACGAGUCCCAAACAGGACGAAAUGCGCAUC
rnacentral:hammerhead_ribozyme from 1 species